UGGGGAAUUUUGCACAAUGGGGGAAACCCUGAUGCAGCGACGCCGCGUGAUUUAGAAGGCCUUCGGGUUGUAAAAAUCUUUUCUAUGGGAAGAAAAUGACAGUACCAUAGGAAUAAGGACCGGCUAAUUACGUGCCAGCAGCCGCGGUAAUACGUAAGGUCCGAGCGUUGUCCGGAAUCAUUGGGCGUAAAGGGUACGUAGGCGGGUAAGCAAGUUAGAAGUGAAAUCCUAUAGCUCAACUAUAGUAAGCUUUUAAAACUGCUCAUCUUGAAGUAUGGAAGGGAAAGUGGAAUUCCUAGUGUAGCGGUGAACUGCGCAGAUAUUAGGAGGAAUACCGGUGGCGAAGGCGACUUUCUGGCCAUAACCUGACGCUGAGGUACGAAAGCGUGGGUAGCAAACAGG
rnacentral:rRNA from 1 species